rnacentral:rRNA from 1 species
AGGAUUCCCCUAGUAACUGCGAGUGAAGCGGGAAAAGCUCAAAUUUAAAAUCUGGCAGUCUUUGACUGUCCGAGUUGUAAUUUAGAGAAGUGAUGCCGGCGCUGGACUGUGUACAAGUCUCCUGGAAUGGAGCGUCAUAGAGGGUGAGAAUCCCGUAUAUGACACAGUUGCCUGGGCACAGUGGCACGCUCUCAAAGAGUCGAGUUGUUUGGGAAUGCAGCUCAAAAUGGGUGGUAAAUUCCAUCUAAAGCUAAAUACAGGCGAGAGACCGAUAGCGAACAAGUACCGUGAGGGAAAGAUGAAAAGAACUUUGGAAAGAGAGUUAAACAGUACGUGAAAUUGUUGAAAGGGAAACGCUUGAAGUCAGUCAUGUUGCUGGAAAUCACACUUGCCAUCUUUUGCUUGUGGCUCUUUCCUUUGCAAUGGGUCAGCAUCAGUUUUGGUUGUUGGAUAAGAGUCGGAGGAAUGUGGCAUCCUUGGAUGUGUUAUAGCCUCUGAUUGCAUGCAAUGAUGGAGACUGAGGAACUCGGCACUUGCUGCCUAGGAUGCUGGCAUAAUGGCUUUAAUCGACCCGUCUUGAACCACGGACCAAACUUC